rnacentral:rRNA from 1 species
GGCUCAGAUUGAACGCUGGCGGCAGGCCUAACACAUGCAAGUCGAGCGGGUUUUCGGACCUAGCGGCGGACGGUGAGUAAUGCGUAGGAAGCUACCCGAUAGAGGGGAUACCAGUUGGAAGCGACUGUUAAUACCGCAUAACGUCUACGGACCAAAGUGUGGGACCUUCGGGCCACAUGCUAUCGGAUGCGCCUACGUGGGAUUAGCUAGUUGGUGAGGUAAUGGCUCACCAAGGCGACGAUCUCUAGCUGGUUUGAGAGGAUGAUCAGCCACACUGGAACUGAGACACGGUCCAGACUCCUACGGGAGGCAGCAGUGGGGAAUAUUGGACAAUGGGCGCAAGCCUGAUCCAGCCAUGCCGCGUGUGUGAAGAAGGCCUUAGGGUUGUAAAGCACUUUCAGCGAGGAGGAAGGGUGAGUGUUAAUAGUACUCAUCUUUGACGUUACUCGCAGAAGAAGCACCGGCUAACUCUGUG